UCGGGCAGUGGGAUAUGACCGCAGCCCCGGGGCAGUGGGGCGUGGGCUGCGGGGAGGAUGGACUUUCUGAGGCUCCUACCCUGCGCCCCGGUCUCCUUCUCAAGUCUGAGUCUAAGAUGUCACCAACUUUCGCGUGCACUUUCCUCGGAACUUGAGCUCAGCUCCCCUCGGCGGGAGAGAGAGUGCCAGAAACGUGGAGAGCGCUCGGACCCGGAGGUCCUCCCAAUCUGUCUAGGAGCGAACGACCCCAGCUCCUCCGACCCCCGGUGCUGUGCAGCCUGGCUCCCCCAGCCCUCCUUCCGCGCUGGGUGAGAGGGUCGCGUGCCUCGAGCUGUGAUCUCCAAGAGGGGACGUGGCUUCCUACGAGGGCCUGUGCCGCACACCCCGGCCCCGGGAAGGCGGGGCCCGAGGUGUCCGCCAGGAGAGGGUGGGAAGAGGGUGGCGGUGUGGUGGACGGGCAGGGGAGCGGCUCGCAGCCGUCGGCCUGGCAGGAAACGUGUUCACCCUCCACGCCGUUGCUGCUCCGGGGAGAGGACAGGGGAGGCCAGUUGGUGCUUAGUCCCCACGGAAGCCUCUUCUACUUUCCUGGACUCUUGGCAUCACUUGCUGCAUCAGAUAUUGAUGUUGAGCUGGACCGUGAUAGAAAACUGGAAGUCUUAAGAAGCGGAUUUAAUACAGUCUUUGGAUUAAAUUGAAACUCAGCAAAGAUGGCUAAGUAUGGAGAACACGAGGCCAGGCCUGAUGAUGGGCAGAAUGAGUUCAGUGACAUCAUCAAGUCCAGAUCUGGUAGGUAAUGGAAGCUUAAGAAGAUGAUGCAUUAUUAUGUAUAAACUACUUAGAAGACAUAGGUUUUUUGGCUUGUUUUUGCACUGUUCUUGUCAGACAAACUUUUGAGAAGCACAGUUCUGACAAAUGACUAUUAUAUCGUAAAAGGUAAUGUACUGUCUCUGAGUAUCCAGUCUUACUUGCCAAUCCAUUAUGGUCUUAUCAUAUGUUGAUGGGCACUGGUUGGUGAAACUCCUACCUGUGGUUGAAUGCUUUGCCUUGAUGAGACUACCUCUUUCCACACAGACACACAGCUGAGCAGUUUUUUCUUGUUGGUCUAUUUUAUGAAGUUGAAGGGAUCACGUGUUUAAAAUAUGAAGUAGCAGUUUCUG
rnacentral:lncRNA from 1 species